AUUGAACGCUGGCGGCAGGCCUAACACAUGCAAGUCGAACGGCUGAAGAGUAAUAGCUCGUUCAUUCGGGUGGGGAGGGGCGGGUGGGGGCGGAAUACAUCGCAAGUUAUGGGGGAUUGGGUGCUAACGCGGGCAAAAAUACGCUAAAACCGCAUAGGACCUAAGGGGGAAAGCAUGGGAUCUUCCGACCUCGCGCGAUCCUAGGACCGGAUGUCGGAUUAGCUAGUUGGCGGGGUAAAGGCCCACCAAGGCGACGAUCCGUAGCUGGUCUGAGAGGAUGAUCAGCCACACUGGAACUGAGACACGGUCCAGACUCCUACGGGAGGCAGCAGUGGGGAAUAUUGGACAAUGGGCGCAAGCCUGAUCCAGCCAUGCCGCGUGGGUGAAGAAGGCCUUCGGAUUGUAAAGCCCUUUUGUUGGGAAAGAAAAGCAGCAGGUUAAUACCUCGCUGUUCUGACGGUACCCAAAGAAUAAGCACCGGCUAACUUCGUG
rnacentral:rRNA from 1 species